rnacentral:rRNA from 1 species
GUUGAACGCUGGCGGCAGGCCUAACACAUGCAAGUCGAGCGGGGUUUUCGGACCUAGCGGCGGACGGGUGAGUAAUGCGUAGGAAGCUACCCGAUAGAGGGGGAUACCAGUUGGAAACGACUGUUAAUACCGCAUAAUGUCUACGGACCAAAGUGUGGGACCUUCGGGCCACAUGCUAUCGGAUGUGCCUACGUGGGAUUAGCUAGUUGGUGAGGUAAUGGCUCACCAAGGCGACGAUCCCUAGCUGGUUCGAGAGGAUGAUCAGCCACACUGGAACUGAGACACGGUCCAGACUCCUACGGGAGGCAGCAGUGGGGAAUAUUGGACAAUGGGCGCGAGCCUGAUCCAGCCAUGCCGCGUGUGUGAAGAAGGCCUUCGGGUUGUAAAGCACUUUCAGUAAGGAGGAAGCGUUGAGUGUUAAUAGUACUCAGCGUUGACGUUACUUACAGAAGAAGCACCGGCUAACUCUGUGCCAGCCGCCGCGGUAACAC